CUUUUAUUUCCUUGAGCAGUGGUUUGUAGUUCUCCUUGAAGAGGAGUUGCCUUGGGACCUGUGCUUCCUUGGCUCUAUGCACUACCAGACGCAGUCCAGUGGGCAGCCUGGCGGGUGGCCCUGGGACUCAUUGCUUUGCAGCCUGUCUGGACCAUCCCUAACAGUUUAUUUUUUUGACUUUUCCAGUGGAGAGUCCACAGAGAAUAUGACUUUUCCUUGGGUCAUCUGUAAAGACUUGGCAAGGGAUGUCUUGCAUCUGGGAAGAUGUGGUCUUGGGGGUCACCUAAGCAGCAGAGGAAACCUUGCAAGAUGACAUUUGGGGCUAAUGUGGAAUUAACUAAUAGACUGAUGAGUUUGCUUGAUCUGAGAACUCACAAAGGAUGUUGAGGAAGAAAGGGCAGCUAUGACCUAUCUUGGGGUUUUGCAUUUUGUUCUUGUGACCCUGUGGAAAUGCUCAGAUGAGUGCACAUGUUCAGACUCAUGCCAGGCCAGUGUGAAGAAUCAAGCUGAGUAUGCAUCCUUCCGAGGCUCAAAGCCAAGAGAAAGAAAGAGAGGCCUGGUGAAAUAUCAUAGGAAAUGUCACGGUCUUUUCUGGACUCUCUUAAAAAGCCCAAGACCCAUUUAAUAUUUCGAUUGCAAGACAUAUCUCUACUGGAUGGUGUUUUGGAAAGCUGGAGUUUAGGAAAAUCCUGGCUGUAGGAAUGCUCUACUGCUGUGAACAUUCCCGCUUUAGGAAUGCUCAUAGCAGUAGAGAGUGGGCUACUGACUUUUCUGGUUUUCAACAGUAUCUUAUUUUUCCUGAACAUUUAUUAACUGUCUGCCCUAUCAGAGAACUUCUCAGAUUGGGACUUCCCUUGAGUAAGAGACAAUGACCUGAAAUGCAGGGCGAGAGAAAUUUCUUUCAGUUUUAGGCGGAAGGUGGGACCCAAAUUUAAGAGAGCCAACCCCAAGUAAGGAAGAUCAGCUCUCACUGGGAGCUGUGUAGGACCCAGGGGGGAGCACACCCCAGGAAAGGGCUGCCGGUGGAUCCGGAGGCCUGACCUGGGGCCCAGGCUGAAGUAGAACAUCAGCACCUCUAGUAGCCCAGCAAUUUGGAUAGCAGGCAGAGUUUAAAGGACCAAACUGGAAUUAUGAGUCAAGACUGGGCAGGAAGCAGGAAGCAAGGAUGAGGAGCCAGGUUAUGAUAACUAGUGAUGCAUGGGGUGUCCAGGCCCAGAGGCACUAAAAGGGGGUCAAGGACCCAGCAUGGAGACUGGGUAACAGAGAGCCAUGCUGUGCUCAUGGAAUCUGGGCAGCAAGAGUAGCAGCUCCCAGAGGGGCUGGCUGGCAACCUUUUGUAUCAGCUUAGGAACUUUUCAUGUUGGUCAGGAGCAGAGACGCAGUUCCAGUUUUGGCUGGCCUGGAGCUUGCAGGAUAAGCCCGUGUCUGGCUGCACUGUAAAAAUAACACGGAGAAUAGGAUGGGUCUUGUCCUUGGUCUCUAGAGCAGCCACUACAUGGAAGAAAGAGGUAGAAGGCAGGUGUCUAUCAAGUGACAUCACAGAACUCAAGAGGAGUGAAUGUCACCUCCAUUCCCCAGUCUCCCAACAUUCCCUGGGGAACAGGGCAGAGGGAAGACAGAGUAGGGGAAUUCCAGGAUAAGCUUCAUGCACCCAGAAUGUGGAAUGCUCACCAAAGAAGAACAAGAGCCGUGUUCACAUCAUGAUAUUCCGCCCUCUUAAUUCCCAAACAGGGCUCCCAGGCUACAGAGCAGCUUUGAUAACAGCAGUGCACUCCCUCUCCUCUAGAAAGUUAGGUGGCUUUAAAAUAGGUAAGGCUAAUUUCAUUCCUUCUGUGAGUUCUGAUGAAAGGGGCAUUUGGCGAAAAACACGUGUGGGUUGGCAUGCAAUGAAUACUUAUUUACAUGGGUGUUUUGAAGACAAUGACACAGAAUCAAAAUUUAACCCACAAGUUUAGGUUUUCAGUUUCCUUCUGCUUCUCUCCUUUGAGAGGUAGAGAUGGAGAAACUGUCUCUACCGCUCUUAUUUUCUCACUCUGAUAACAAUCUUUUCCAUUAGUAGAGUGCUAUAUAAGGUACAGUGCACUUGGGAAAUGCCUCUUGGGAAGGUGACAUGUAAAAAUGGUGGUCAACGCCACUUCUGGGCAGGUGCCAAGGCCUGUAGCAGCCUGUGUCUUUGGGUCCUGCAUGCUUUCCUUUGUGUUGGCUGGUUCCUCUGGCUGAGUUCACUGUUGGUCUGUCUGUGGCAAUUACGGAGAAGCAUGACAGUCACAGCUUCCCUGAGUUCUACUGAACUCAUGAACUUUGUUCAUAACAGACUCUACAAGUGGUACAGGAUUCCUAUGGCCACAACUCAACUCAACUCCGUAGAAAUCAAUGUUUAUGGAUCAUUGGAGCUAAAAGAAAACUUGCAGAUCAGAUCAUCUCAUCCAAUUCCCUGACUUUACAGAAUGAGGAAACUGAGGCACAGUAAGAUUUUUUUUUUUAUUUUUUGCCCAGGUCUGAAUAAAAUUGAAGGCACCCUUACCAUAGCCAGGAUUCUUUGUAUAUACCACUGGCUGACCAGUGGUAGCUGAAAAAAAAAAAAAAAGGGAUUUGAGAUGGUAGGAGGGGUGUCUGACUGAGGAGCCAUUUUUAUAGGUUUUUAUAGACAUUUGCAUUGGUUUGGAGUAGCAGAACCAGAAAUAGUCUUUCCCUUUUCAGGAGCAACUCUGCACAGAAGACUCACUGGCUUUGGACUCUGUCCCUAUCACAUACAUUUCAGUAGCCAGGCCAAGGCAUCUGGCUGGGAGGCUGGGUACGUCUCAGAGAAUAAGCGCUUGUCAUAGAAUGGGUCGUGAAGCUGGGCAGAGAGCCAGGUUUGCAGAAAUGGCUUUGUAUUGAUGAAGAAGGGAGAUUUUUACCUUGUCUUGGCCUCCAUCAUGAAGAGAGUGUUACAAAAAAGUACAGAUGACAGCAGGCCACUCUCGGAGACACACACGAAGCUUGUCUUCCUCCAUCCCAAAUACAUAGGUCAGUGGACCCUCAGGAAUCCAUUCUGAUGCACGGGUGGAUGAGCCAAGGGCUGGGCAGAGGCCAUUUCAAUAGCUUAAUGCUUGCCAGGUAUAUCUGAGCUAGUGCUGCCCCAGGGACAGAGUAUCCUCUGGGAGAUCUGAACCAAGCGAGGGUGUGGCAGCCGGUGGAUGACUUACAGUCAGCCUAUCUGGGCAGAUUUUAAACCCUGGCGUUUUUAGUGCCUUGACUAGUGUGAGAAACUUGAAACUCAGUCUCAUUGCUAUUUGUGGUAAUGGUCAUUUAGUUUCAGGAAAACAUCGAUGGUGCCCUUCCCUAGAUAGCUGCGUUGCAAUGGACCACAUUAUGGCAUGCACAUUAAUGUAGGGAUUGUUCAUACAAAAGAGGGCAAAGAUGCCACUUGUGACAGAAAUGACUGUUACCCAGUGUCUGUUCUCUACCUCUUUCAUAGGGAUAGAAUUUUCAGCUGGGCACAUGACUGCUUAGAAUGAAGAACUACAGUUCUCAUCCUCCCUUGUGGCUAAGUGAGGUUUUGUGACUAAGUUCUAGAUAGUAGGAUGUCAGCAGAGGUGAUGCGUGUGACUUCCGGUGUGUGCCCUUGAAGGCAAAGUCAUGCCUGCCCUUUCCCUUUCUCCCUCUGCAGGCGUGUUGCCGUCAUGGUGAGGAGCCAUUUCAUAUCAUGCAGACUAAAAGACCCUUUCCAGGUGCUGGAGCAACCAUUCAGAAGGCGGUGAUGGCUGGGGGAGGGCUUCCAUGGGAGAGAGGAAGUAAAUGUCUCUCAUGGGGAAUCCCUGUUGUUUUGGUCUCUGUCAACCAUGGUUCAAUUCAUAACUUAAGUUAUACCCUACUUAUUGGGAACUUUGAUUUUGGAAGGCAAAGAAAUUUAAAAAUUAAGAAAUAAAAAUAAAACAACAGAUAGCACUUGGAUAAGUUGGCCAAGUUCAAGUAACACAAAAAAGUCAGGACAUGGAACCAGGAGGUGGAAGUGCCUUGUUUCUCCUCCUCCUCUUUCCGUUUCCCAUGUCACCCACAGGACUGGUGUGCCCGGUAGGAAAGAUUGGUAGGUCCCACUGGUCCCGAGUGUCCUACGGCCCUUUAUAUUGGAUAAUAUUGGAACUGGAUUCUCCUAGAGAUUGGGAAUGGUGGCAGAAAAAUUAAAAUUGGGAGGUGAAAGCUCAAGGAGGUAGUUACAAAGCAAAGGAAAACAAACAGUUUUGGGCAUCCAGCUGCCUUUCAGUGGUGGUCACUAUGGCAGAGAUCAGCAGAGUGAAGGGCUAGGAGAUAGACUCAUUUCGGAUCUAACUUUAAUAAUCAAUUUUAAUGACCCUUGAGCGAAUGGAGCAGUUGAUUUUCCUCUCAAUCCUCUCUCUGUGUCUGUUGUUCCUGCAAAGCCUAUUGGGACUUGCCUGAGGAAUUGGCCCUUAUCCUUGAGGUUAAUGAAAGACAACACUCAAGAAGCUUCCCACUUACAGAACUCUUUCUCCAAUUUAGAAUGGAGGCUACUUUUUUUUUUACUGUGGUAAAAUAUACAUAAUAUAACAUUCACAUUUUAACCAUUUUAAAGUGGCAUUGAGUACAUUCAUACUGUUGUGCAACCAUCACAACCAUCCAUCUCCAGGACUGUUUUCUUCCUGCAAAACUGAAACGCUCUACCUAUUAAACAAUCAGUUCCCAUUCCCCCUUCCCCCAGCCCCUGGCACCCACCAUUCUACUUUCUGUCUAUGAAUUUGACCACUCUGGGAACCUCAUAUAAGUGGAAUCUCAGAGUAUUUGUCCUUUUGUGACUGGAGCUAGUUUUGGCUAAGUCAUGGGAGAGGCAAGUGGAUCCCUUGCUGGUAGGAAGGACAGGGCCGUGUUGACAGGGACCAUGAGGCCUCCGCCCUGCAGUUUUCCUUUGUCCUCUGCGUGGGGUGGGGCAGCCCUCUUGGGGAAAAGGCUCUCCUCAUUUCAUCUUUACUUUUCCUUCCUGGGAGAUGGAGCAAAUGGUGCCUGCCUUGUCUAUUUGGAGCACACAGGCAUAGAUCAUUAAUAAGAUAAUUGGAAGGUACUUGGCAAAAUCUGAAAUAUUAACUGUCUCAGAGAAGCUGAAUAAUCACAGGGUCUCACCAAGUGCCACCUCAACAAGUGCAGCUUUCACCCGUCCUUGGACAUUUAUUUCCCUUUGUCUGCACUCUGUUCCCUUUCUCCCAAAAUGCUGGGUAGAGGUUCUUUAAAAUUCAAGAAAAAAAUCAGACUUCCCCUUCUCCCCAGUGACAUUCCCGGCCUCUUCUCUCACUCGAGUGAUUUCCUGUAUGAAAUUCAACAACAGGUCCACCCAGAGGAGUUCUUUUUCCUCCAGCUUCUCUGUUUAAAAAUCUUGGGUUCUUCCUGACAAAAGGAGGCUUAGUCAUCUUCCCCCAGUGACAGGCCCUACUUAAAAACAAACAACGAAGAAAUCCUACAUCCCACUCCAGCUUGUGCUGCAGAGCCUGGCCGGGGAGGGACAGGGGAUGGUACACUUGGAAAGGCAAUCAAAGAGUGGGCGGUCAGAAAACAAAACCUGCCAGGUUAUCAAAAGGACACCACCUCCAAUGCACAGAGCUGCUUCCUUCCCGCACACACGGAAUCUUCCUGCUCCCUGCCCCACUCAUCGUGGUCGUGGCCAGCUGUGUCCAGCAGCCUGGCGCCCACUUAACAAACAGGAGCAAUGAGGGAGACUCCUCACCCGGGGCCAGCAGUGGGUCAGGGAAGAGGCUGGGGUUAGGGCUCAGGGGUCUCAACCUGGAGUCCUGUGUUUGCAGCUACAACUCCAAGGCCUUGGGAUUUGCCUAGUGGGGAAUCCUGGGCUCCAGGGAAGAAGUCACUGAAGGUUUACCAGGCAGACUUAUAAAUGGGGAGAAACUGAAGCCUAGAACGCCCCCCUCUCUGAUGACUGCUGCCUACGCUGCCUCCUUCCUUCUCUCAGCUCCAAAGGCACAGAAUGUCUGAUCGGAGAGUUUAGCUGCUUUCUACUGUUUUCUCACAGUUUCGUUUAUCAGCCUUGUCUUGCCAAUGAUACAGAAGCUCCCCGCAGGACAGUGGGUAGGUGGGAGCUUCCCGAUGAUCAUGUUGGUGUUGACAAAGCUCCCCAAAGUGGGGUAUUCCCUCAGGCUGGUCUCCGGAGCCGGCUCUGUGCUCUGAAAGCGGCCCAUCCUGCCGUCCUAGAGUAUAGGUGCCGUCUAUCUCUGUGUGUUGAGUUAUCGGGAGAUGAAAGAUUUUUUUCACUUGGUGAAUCCUGGCAUUGUGGGAAGACUCUCCUAACACAGACAUAAUUCUCUUGCAAUCCCACAGGCGCACACAUACACAGAGGCGUCACACACACACAGAGGCACACCCCUGGUGUGUCAUGGGCGUUGUUUUGCGUGGAGAACGUGGAGCGUGAAGACACAUUUUCUAUGACAGUGGUUCCCUUGGUGUGGGAUUGAUGGACCUGUGGACAACAGGAGUUUUGUUAGUGCUCUUCAGGGUCCCGGAGAUCAUGUACUAGAACACCUUUCCUCCACAGAGGAAGAGACUGCAACCCAGAGAGCUUUGUCACUUAGACACACAAUUUUACUUUGCUUGGGCUUCAGUUUCCCUAUAUGAAAAGAAAAAAAAAAUAGAAUUGCCCCAAAGGAUCUUAAGGACUUUUUCAGAAUUCCGUACAUAAUGAGUUUUUAUUGUCAUUUUCUCACCAUUCUUUGGCCUUUGUGGAACUGACUAGAAUAGCUCAAUUGUUUGUUAAGGAAUUUCUGACCUCAAUCAGUUUUCCUUAUAUAAGGAGUUACCAGUUUUAGAGCCUCAUGUCACUUGGGGCUGUGUCUCACUUAAAAGUGCUGUGAGAGCAUAUUGGAUUGCUGAAAGGAGAAACUGACCACCUCUUAGAAGACAUCACCAAUUCAAAUGAGGGUGUCUCCUUUCCUAGCGAAAACGGGCACUUAGACUAGUUUAGAGCCACCGGAGGUGGGAGGAUGAGCCAGAUGUCCCUGGAAAGCCAGUUUAGGGGUGCUUUUCUCAUGUUUUCCAGGGUUUAAUUAUGCUCCGUGCUUGAGAGAAAUAUUUUUGAACCUGAGGAUUUUUUAUCUUAACGUUGAACAAAUUAUUUAUCUUUCUUUUUCUGUCCCCUCCAUAGUUCCCCAAUGACUCUAAUUUUUAUUAUUGUUAUAAAGCAUUUUUCCUUAAAGAGUAAAGACGCAAAUAAAAAAAAUCUGCAGCUU
rnacentral:lncRNA from 1 species